rnacentral:rRNA from 1 species
GACGUAGGGCGCGAGCGUUGUCCGGAUUUAUUGGGCGUAAAGAGCUCGUAGGCGGCUCAUUGCGUCAACCGUGAAAUCCUGCUGCUCAACGGCAGGUCUGCGGUUGAUACGGGUGGGCUGGAGUUCGGUAGGGGAGACUGGAAUUCCUGGUGUAGCGGUGAAAUGCGUAGAUAUACGGAGGAACACCAGCGGCGAAGGCGGGUAGCUGGGCCAACACUGACGCUGAUGUGCGAAAGCUAGGGGAGCAAACGGG